rnacentral:rRNA from 1 species
AGUGAACGCUGGCGGUAGGCCUAACACAUGCAAGUCGAACGGCAGCACAGUAAGAGCUUGCUCUUACGGGUGGCGAGUGGCGGACGGGUGAGGAAUACAUCGGAAUCUACUUUUUCGUGGGGGAUAACGUAGGGAAACUUACGCUAAUACCGCAUACGACCUACGGGUGAAAGCAGGGGAUCUUCGGACCUUGCGCGAUUGAAUGGGCCGAUGUCGGAUUAGCCAGUUGGCGGGGUAAAGGCCCACCAAGGCGACGAUCCGUAGCUGGUCUGAGAGGAUGAUCAGCCACACUGGAACUGAGACACGGUCCAGACUCCUACGGGAGGCAGCAGUGGGGAAUAUUGGACAAUGGGCGCAAGCCUGAUCCAGCCAUACCGCGUGGGUGAAGAAGGCCUUCGGGUUGUAAAGCCCUUUUGUUGGGAAAGAAAAGCAGCAGGUUAAUACCCCGCUGUUCUGACGGUACCCAAAGAAUAAGCACCGGCUAACUUCGUG